GAAAGCCUGACGGAGCAAUACCGCGUGAGGGACGAAGGUCUGUGGAUUGUAAACCUCUUUUGUUGGGGAAGAUAAUGACGGUACCCAACGAAUAAGCAUCGGCUAACUCCGUGCCAGCAGCCGCGGUAAGACGGAGGAUGCAAGCGUUAUCCGGAAUUAUUGGGCGUAAAGCGUACGUAGGCUGUUUCAUAAGUCUGUUGUCAAAGCGCGAGGCUCAACCUUGUAAAGGCAAUGGAAACUGCGAGACUAGAGAGAGAUAGGGGCAGGAGGAAUUCCAGGUGUAGCGGUGAAAUGCGUAGAUAUCUGGAAGAACACCAGUGGCGAAA
rnacentral:rRNA from 1 species